rnacentral:rRNA from 1 species
CGGCGCACGGGUGCGUAACGCGUAUACAAUCUGCCUUUCACAUAGGGAUAGCCCGAAGAAAUUUGGAUUAAUACCUAAUGGUAUAUAAGAGCGGCAUCGUUUUUAUAUUAAAGCUACGGUGGUGAAAGAUGAGUAUGCGUUCUAUUAGCUAGUUGGAGAGGUAACGGCUCCCCAAGGCGACGAUAGAUAGGGGUUCUGAGAGGGAUGUCCCCCACACUGGUACUGAGAUACGGACCAGACUCCUACGGGAGGCAGCAGUGAGGAAUAUUGGACAAUGGUCGGAAGACUGAUCCAGCCAUGCCGCGUGCAGGAUGAAGGUCCUAUGGAUUGUAAACUGCUUUUGUAAGGGAAGAAUAAGGGGUACGUGUACUUUGAUGACGGUACCUUACGAAUAAGCAUCGGCUAACUCCGUGCCAGCAGCCGCGGUAAUACGGAGGAUGCGAGCGUUAUCCGGAAUCAUUGGGUUUAAAGGGUCCGUAGGCGGGCUGAUAAGUCAGAGGUGAAAGCGCUUAGCUCAACUAAGCAACUGCCUUUGAAACUGUCAGUCUUGAAUGAUUGUGAAGUAGUUGGAAUGUGUAGUGUAGCGGUGAAAUGCUUAGAUAUUACACAGAACACCGAUAGCGAAGGCAUAUUACUAACAAUUUAUUGACGCUGAUGGACGAAAGCGUGGGGAGCGAACAGGAUUAGAUACCCUGGUAGUCCACGCUGUAAACGAUGGAUACUAGCUGUUUGGAGCAAUCUGAGUGGCUAAGCGAAAGUGAUAAGUAUCCCACCUGGGGAGUACGCACGCNAGUGUGAAACUCNAAGGAAUUGAC